CAGCCAGCGCCGUCCCUGGUACCUGAAGAGAGAUCGACCGUGUUAUAUUCGCUUUCCUGACUUCGAAUAAUACAUGGUUGAUCUUUUCUCAGUAUCAAAUCUCACCUUGGAGCACC
rnacentral:precursor_RNA from 15 species